rnacentral:tRNA from 8 species
GCUCCCUUCGUCUAGUGGCCCAGGACACCGCCCUCUCACGGCGGGAACAGGGGUUCGAAACCCCUAGGGAGCGCCA